rnacentral:tRNA from 1 species
UGGGGAUUAGCUCAGCGGUAGAGCAGCCGUUUUACAUGCGGCCGGUCGGCGGUUCGAUCCCGUCAUCCCUAACCA